rnacentral:rRNA from 7 species
AAAUUGAAGAGUUUGAUCAUGGCUCAGAUUGAACGCUGGCGGCAGGCCUAACACAUGCAAGUCGAACGGUAACAGGAAGCAGCUUGCUGCUUUGCUGACGAGUGGCGGACGGGUGAGUAAUGUCUGGGAAACUGCCUGAUGGAGGGGGAUAACUACUGGAAACGGUGGCUAAUACCGCAUAAUGUCGCAAGACCAAAGAGGGGGACCUUCGGGCCUCUUGCCAUCAGAUGUGCCCAGAUGGGAUUAGCUUGUUGGUGAGGUAACGGCUCACCAAGGCGACGAUCCCUAGCUGGUCUGAGAGGAUGACCAGCCACACUGGAACUGAGACACGGUCCAGACUCCUACGGGAGGCAGCAGUGGGGAAUAUUGCACAAUGGGCGCAAGCCUGAUGCAGCCAUGCCGCGUGUAUGAAGAAGGCCUUCGGGUUGUAAAGUACUUUCAGCGGGGAGGAAGGUGUUGUGGUUAAUAACCGCAGCAAUUGACGUUACCCGCAGAAGAAGCACCGGCUAACUCCGUGCCAGCAGCCGCGGUAAUACGGAGGGUGCAAGCGUUAAUCGGAAUUACUGGGCGUAAAGCGCACGCAGGCGGUCUGUCAAGUCGGAUGUGAAAUCCCCGGGCUCAACCUGGGAACUGCAUUCGAAACUGGCAGGCUUGAGUCUUGUAGAGGGGGGUAGAAUUCCAGGUGUAGCGGUGAAAUGCGUAGAGAUCUGGAGGAAUACCGGUGGCGAAGGCGGCCCCCUGGACAAAGACUGACGCUCAGGUGCGAAAGCGUGGGGAGCAAACAGGAUUAGAUACCCUGGUAGUCCACGCCGUAAACGAUGUCUACUUGGAGGUUGUGCCCUUGAGGCGUGGCUUCCGGAGCUAACGCGUUAAGUAGACCGCCUGGGGAGUACGGCCGCAAGGUUAAAACUCAAAUGAAUUGACGGGGGCCCGCACAAGCGGUGGAGCAUGUGGUUUAAUUCGAUGCAACGCGAAGAACCUUACCUGGUCUUGACAUCCACGGAAGUUUUCAGAGAUGAGAAUGUGCCUUCGGGAACCGUGAGACAGGUGCUGCAUGGCUGUCGUCAGCUCGUGUUGUGAAAUGUUGGGUUAAGUCCCGCAACGAGCGCAACCCUUAUCCUUUGUUGCCAGCGGUCCGGCCGGGAACUCAAAGGAGACUGCCAGUGAUAAACUGGAGGAAGGUGGGGAUGACGUCAAGUCAUCAUGGCCCUUACGACCAGGGCUACACACGUGCUACAAUGGCGCAUACAAAGAGAAGCGACCUCGCGAGAGCAAGCGGACCUCAUAAAGUGCGUCGUAGUCCGGAUUGGAGUCUGCAACUCGACUCCAUGAAGUCGGAAUCGCUAGUAAUCGUGGAUCAGAAUGCCACGGUGAAUACGUUCCCGGGCCUUGUACACACCGCCCGUCACACCAUGGGAGUGGGUUGCAAAAGAAGUAGGUAGCUUAACCUUCGGGAGGGCGCUUACCACUUUGUGAUUCAUGACUGGGGUGAAGUCGUAACAAGGUAACCGUAGGGGAACCUGCGGUUGGAUCACCUCCUUA